rnacentral:rRNA from 1 species
ACUACUGGAAACGGUGGCUAAUACCGCAUAACGUCGCAAGACCAAAGAGGGGGACCUUCGGGCCUCUUGCCAUCAGAUGUGCCCAGAUGGGAUUAGCUGGUUGGUGAGGUAACGGCUCACCAAGGCGACGAUCCCUAGCUGGUCUGAGAGGAUGACCAGCCACACUGGAACUGAGACACGGUCCAACUCCUACGGGAGGCGCAGUGGGAAUAUUGCACAAGGGGCGCAGCCUGAUGCAGCUGCCGCGUGAUGAGAGCCUUCGGGUUUAAAGACUUUAGCGGGAGGAAGGUGUUG